UUUUUUGGUUCUAUAGAGGCACCGUCCGCUGCUAUAGUUUCAUUGGCUGGAGGAGUAUCAGCUGAUCAGUUCCCAGUGACGUUCAACAUGGCGGCGUCAGGAGUAACCAACCUGUGCUGAAAAUGUGGAGCUCCGUCUUGACAGGGAGCUGUAGCUCCAAGCCAUAAGGUCACGGCCUCAAUUGCAGCGUAAGGAACAUAAUGGUAGCCUGCAAGCCUCAAAGAGCAUCAGGGAUUUUCAGUCAGAAGACGUUCUUCUGGCAAAGGCAUGGAGGAUGAACAGCUGCAGGAGAUGAAAAUAGAUAAUGCUGAUCUGAUGCAAAAUGUGGCUCAGUCACCUAACGCAGAGACCAGUGGUAGCUGUGAGCCCAUGCAAAAUGGCAAAACCUUGAUUACUGAAGGGAAGGCAAGAAUAAUUUUCCCAUGUGCCAAUGAAGUCUUCUACAACCCUGUUCAAGAGUUCAACAGAGACCUCACGUGUGCAGUCAUUACAGAAUUUGCUCGUCUGCAGCUUUCAUCAAAAGGGAUUCGGCUUGCUGUCCCUGGAGAGGAAAAUAGCUCUAAAGUGGUGGCGGAUCUCUCAAAAGAAGAGAAAGAUGAUAAUUUGGAACAGCAUCCUUCUGAUGAUCAGCUGCAAGAGGAAGGUCAUAAAGUUGCAGCAGUGGGACAAGUCUGCCAGGAUGGGCUGAGAGUGCUGGAGGCCUUGGCUGCUUCUGGGCUACGCUCAAUUAGGUUUGCCAAGGAGGUUCCUGGCCUUCGCAGCGUGGUGGCUAAUGACUUCUCUUCCAAGGCUGUGGAACUCAUAACCCAAAAUGUUCAGCUUAAUGAUGUGGGUCACCUGGUGACUCCAAGCUUUUCAGAUGCCCGGAUGGUGAUGUAUCAGUGUAAGGCAGACAAAGCACUCUUUGAUGUCAUCGAUCUGGACCCAUACGGCAGCCCUUCCACUUUUCUGGAUGCUGCAGUGCAGGCUGUCAGUGAGGGAGGUCUCCUGUGUGUCACAUGUACCGAUAUGGCUGUAAUGGCUGGGAACUCUGGGGAGACUUGCUACAGCAAAUAUGGGGCUAUGUCGAUCAAGGCCAGGUUCUGCCAUGAAAUGGCCUUGCGGAUUAUCUUGCACAGUCUUGACCUGCGUGCCAACUGCUACCAGCGUUACAUUGUCCCACUCCUGUCCGUCAGUGUUGAUUUUUACAUUCGUGUUUAUGUCCGGGUCUUCACCGCACAGUCUAAGGUCAAAGCGUCUGCCAGCAAACAGGCCUUGGUCUAUAACUGUGUGGGCUGUGGUUCCUUUCACAUACAGAGACUUGGCAAGAUGGCUCACAACGGAAACAAUAUCAACUACAAGGCUGCCUGUGGGCCUCCCGUGGGCCCUUCCUGUGAACACUGCCACCAACGCCACCAGCUGGCUGGCCCUUUCUGGGCAGAGCCUCUCCACGACAUGGCCUUUGUCCAGCAAGUCCUCUCAGCUGUUGGGAGCAACCCAGGACGCUUCCAAACAGGCCAACGGAUUCAAGGCAUCCUGAGCAUGGCAUUGGAGGAACUCAGUGAUGUCCCUCUUUAUUACACCCUUGAUAAUCUCAGCAAAACCGUCCACUGCAGCAGUCCUUCCUUGCUGCAGUUCAGAUCGGCUCUCCUCCAUGCUGGCUACCGGGUGUCGCUCUCACAUGCCUGCAAGAGUGCCAUCAAGACAGAUGCACCGCCACCAGUAGUUUGGGACAUCAUGCGCUGCUGGGAGAAGCUCAACCCUGUGAAGAGAGAGCGCCUGUCAGAGAGCAGCCCAGCUGCCCGCAUUCUCUCCUUAGAGCCCAAGUUACAGGCCUCCUUCACUGUCCGAGCAGAUGCUAAUCCUAGUUCACGAAAACAGGGCCUCAAAAGAUUCCAGUUGAAUCCAGAGCGCUUCUGGGGGCCAAAAGCAAGAGCAAAAGCUGGGGGAGGGGUUUCUUCUAAUCUUCAGGAGAAGAGAAAGCUACACCAGAACAAGAGGAAGGCAUGUGGAGAAGAGAGUGAUGGGGCCCACUUGAAGAAUUUCCCCUGCAAAAGAUUCCGGCAGUGAGUGAAACGCCACUGAGUAUCAAUCUGGAUUCAAUGCACUCACUCAAGAGCAAGAGAGGGUAACUGUUCACUUGGGGACAAAUGCCGUUACUCCCAUGAAACAGAAAAAGAGAGAGAGCCAAGGGAUGCAUCAUGAUGACAUUGUUCCAGAACACCUGCUUGGGUUUAACUUUUGUUACAAGGGAGAGCCUUUAUUUUAAAAUGAUUGUCCCUUGAUUGUCUGCUUGUCAUUAAAUAAGAAUAUCUUUUAA